rnacentral:sRNA from 1 species
GAUGCCAGGUUCUAAAGGUCUAAGCCCAUAUGAGUUUGCUCAUAGGUGGGUGAAAGACCUUGAGACCCGCCCCGAUAUGAGCAUAAAAGGGAAUCGUAAGCUUCACGAUAUGCGAAUAUCGGGCAGGGUGCUAUGUGCCAGUGGCACAUGUUUAGCACGGACCGAAGCGGAGCGUAGAAGUGAGAGUGCGUAGCACGAAACAAUCCGCAGGCAU